GACGAACGCUGGCGGCGUGCUUAACACAUGCAAGUCGAACGGAAAGGCCCCUUUGGGGGUCCUCGAGUGGCGAACGGGUGAGUAACACGUGAGUAACCUGCCCUUGACUUCGGGAUAACUUCAGGAAACUGGGGCUAAUACCGGAUAGGAAUCCUUGCUGCCUGGUGGGGGUUGGAAAGCUUCGGCGGUUUUGUGUGGACUCGCGGCUUAUCAGCUUGUUGGUGGGGUAGUGGCUUACCAAGGCUUUGACGGGUAGCCGGCCUGAGAGGGCGACCGGCCACAUUGGGACUGAGAUACGGCCCAGACUCCUACGGGAGGCAGCAGUGGGGAAUAUUGCACAAUGGGCGGAAGCCUGAUGCAGCAACGCCGCGGGCGGGAGGACGGCCUUCGGGUUGUAAACCGCUUUCAGCAGGGGCGAAGCUUGUGGUGACGGUACCUGCAGAAGAAGCACCGGCUAACUACGUG
rnacentral:rRNA from 1 species